ensembl:ribozyme
GGUUGAGAGUUUAAGGCCAUAGCAGAAGUGCUCGUGGUGUGGCCCUGUCAGAUUCCAAUGAAUCUGCAAAUUCUGCU